rnacentral:rRNA from 1 species
AAUAGAUACCCAGGUAGUCCACGCCGUAAACGAUGAUGACUCGGUCUGUGCCGGCUUCAACGCCGCUGCGGACCACAGCUAACGCGGUAAGUCAUCCGCCUGGGAAGUACGAGCGCAAGCUUAAAACUCAAAGGAAUUGACGGGGACCCGCACAAGCAGCGGAGCGUGUGGUUUAAUUCGACGCAACGCGAAGCACCUCACCCAGGUUUGACAUGGCACUGCAAGCCCGUGAAAGCGGGUCGCCUUCAAGGGUGUGCCACCGGUGCUGCAUGGCUGUCGUCAGCUCGUGUCGUGAGAUGUUGGGUUAAGUCCCGCAACGAGCGCAACCCCCGCGGCCAGUUACUCGUGUCUGGCCGGACUGCCCUUCGGGGAGGAAGGUGGGGAUGACGUCAAGUCCGCAUGGCCCGUACGUCUGGGGCGACACACACGCUACAAUGGCCGUCCUAAUGCGUCGCGACUGGGUAACCAGGAGCCAAUCGGGAAAGACGGUCUCAGUGCAGAUCGGGGGCUGCAACUCGCCCCGUGAA